UUUAUGUUAACGUUUGUUCAAUUACUUUUUCUAGCUCAAUGAUAAACAUUUUCUGUGCCUGACUUUGAUGUUCACUUUCAUGUAAAAAAAUGAGAACAACAAUAAUUUUUUCCUUGUUUUAUUAGCUGCAAAAUCCACUGCAACAUCUUACCCCAUAUAGUGACACAACUUACCCGAUGUUGGGGCAACAUGUCACAUGUUCACACUCUCUGUUUGAUUGCUUAUAACUCUGCACUGACACAAGAUAUGAAAAUGACAUGAAUAUGAAAUAUAUACCCGAGACUUUGGUCUUUCAUCUGGUACACAUUUUGUUUAUAUAUGAUGUAUUGAUGUAAAGAAAGAGUGUAAAAAGUGUGACAACAAGCCCCUGUCUCCUCUAUCCCUCUUUGUCAGUCCAUCACAGUCUAUGUAGUCCAUAUACAGCCAGGUGAAAAAAAAUCUUUGGUUAGUGAGCUACUUGGCCCAUAUUUAUUGAACAUAAAUAUAUACUCACAUGUAUUAUUUUCUGUCAACUGAGGCUCAUUUUUUGCCACUUCCUCUUCCUUAUUCUCUAGGUUAUCAUUCCUUAGACAGUUAAGUGUCUUAGGUAAAGCACAUUGCAGUGCACAUAUUUGCAGAUGUCACAUAAACAUAGAUGAAUAACUUGUUGGUCUUUGUGAUCCUUGAAAGCUGUAGUUGUAAGCUUUUCCUUGUUCUUGUUGCUUUUAUGACAGGUCAGUAUCUGUUUCACUUUUACUCACAGCAGAUCUGCAGUUUUUAAUUUGUGGAACAAGAGAGUGACAUGCUCCUGUGUGCAGACACAGAAAAUGUCAGGUUUUAAAGAUUUGCCUUGAGCCCUGCAGGCCUCAACAGUUAGGGUUUAGACUGAGUUAUGCAGGUACCAGGAGGAUUGCUUUUGUGGUAUUUUUCUGUGGAGAAAUGUCUCUUUUAGUGGCAUUUAUGCUUUUGUGUCUUGCUAUCAUUGCAUUUGAGCUAGACAGGUUCCGUAAAAGAACCUGACACAAAGCAACUCUUAAAGUUAUAAGAAGACAGAUCUUUGCUCAGUUGCAGCUCAUUAUGGUUUAACUAUUCAAGGCAACCUCAGAGAGCUGGCUCCAAAAUCUUUAAUACGUUUGUUGAUAAGGUGUGAGAAAGCCAAAAUGCUAAUAGAGGCAGCAGAAGUUACUGUAGCUUCAGGUUUGAAAGAGCUUGAGUUGAGGCUGCAGUUAAAGAGAAUUGAGUUAGAGAUUGAUGCCAUGGAAAAAUAUCUGACAUCCCUAGUUCAAAGAAGUUUGAUGUUGGCAGGCAUAUUCAUUUGGUCUCCCCUUUUAAUUAAAAGAUGCUGAAAAGAACUUUUCUCGUCUCCCAAUCAGAAGAUGAGGGGUUUGAUUCCAGAGCUGCUGAAGUGUCCUUGGGCAUCACACUUGACAUCACCUGCCCCCUUCCAGUGGUGUGAGAAUACAACCAGUCAAAAGCUGAUGGGCUCUAUACAUAGCAAACUCUGAUAUCAGUGUGUGAAUGUGGUGAGAAUGUGACAUGUGAUGUAAAGCUCUUUGAGUGAAGAAAUAUAUUAUUUUGACAUAGUUCCGUUUGAGUCUUUUUUCAGUGUCAAUGUGUAUCUUCUCGUAAAACUAUGACCUCUGUCUGACAUAUUUCAAGGAACUGAACCUUUAAACUUCUCUAUAAGGGGAAACCACUUCACACAUCGACUCAACAACCAGUCAGAUCGAAAUUUGAAACAGGAAGUGGUAGCUGCUGACCGUAGACCUUUCUCCAAAGCCCUUAAAUACCCCAUGUUUUUUAAGUUUGGUGUGAAUGCUGAUACUCUCAGGUCACUACCCCUUAAGUUUUCUGUUUCCUACUUUUGUCUUUCACUUCUUGAUUUGUUUGUAUCAAGAAGUCAAGAUUUUUAUGCAACCUUUUGUUUUGCACUUAUCAAGUUUUUCCAGGGAUUUUAGUGACAGGAUCUAAGGAAAGGAGUGAUAAGAAACAAAGAUGUCUGAGCACUCAAACGUAGAGAAAAAAAGUAGAAAAUCAGACUUAAAGAAGGCAUCUCAAAUGUUUCUUUUUAAGCUUAAGCCCCCAAAAAGCUGGGAUAACAUAAAAGCUAUGCCAGGUAUGUCAACCCCAACUAUAUUAGCUGUGACAGACAACUUCUUACCUCAUGCUUGCCUCUUCAAAUCAUAGGUUAGUUGUUUUAAAUGUUUAGGAACUGUGUGAACAAAUAGUUCAACCACUUCUAAAUAAUUUUCUUGUGCAUAAAGUUGUAAAGAACUUGUGAAUUUCAUCAUAUGUAGUAUUUAAUAUCAGUAAAAGAUUCAGAGAAUCUGGAGAAAUCUCUGUAAGAGACAAGGAACAAAAAUCAAUACCAGCUGGCCCUGAUCUUCAUGAAUAAUCAUGACUCUGUAGUGUAAAUCACUGCAUGGUUGUAUUAUGAUGAGACCUGAGAAAAUGGGGUCUAUGUAGUGUUGGAUCGAAGCACUAGUGCACCAACCAGUCCAAAAGUUGAAUGGGUCUAAAGUGUGUUGAAAGCCUCUGAAUAUGUUGUUUGGUGUUUGAAAUGUUGGGUGCAUUUAAGUAUGAUAAGUUUCAUGUCUUCAAUUUUAAAGUUGCUAAUGGAGCUGCUUUUCUGCAAAUAAGUUUUCAGACUUUGCCUUUUGUGUGUGUGUGUGUGUGUGUGUGUGUGUGUGUGUGUGUGUGUGUGUGUGUGUGUGUGUGUGUGUGUGUGUGUGUGUGUGUGUGUGUGUAUGUGUGUGUGUGUGUGUGUGUGAGUGUGAAUGUUGAUUAUGUAUGGACAUGUGUUGGGGGAAAGGCUGUAGAAUAAAGUUUAGAUCUUAAGUAGGCUACUUAUCUAGUAUCGUCAAUCACUACAUUUAAUGUAAUGACACUGUGAGCAGCGUACUGAGCAUGUGCAGUGUGUGCAUGUGUGUGUGAACAGGAGCAGGUAGGAAAACAUGGUAAGCAUCUUCAUCAUUUUUAUCGUCAUUGAUAUUAUCAUGAUCAUCACCCUCCCCUGCAGUGUGUGUUUGUUUACAUUCAACACCAUAAACAUGUUAAUAUUUAAGCAGAAGAGCAUGCCUUUUCUGUAACACUUGUUACAAAACUUUUUUCAAGCGCUGACGUGUUUGUAGUUCUUAGCAGUGUCUCUGAAACACAUGUAGUCCUGCUGAAGCUUCACUUUGUGAUAAGAGUGUAUAGACAGACUUUUACAGGAAGUUUGAUUUCUCCUCUUUAGUGAAGGCAGAGACACAGAGUCCAUCAGAGAGAUUAAAGGUAAUUUGAUUGACAUGUGUCUCAGCCAAUAAGGUGUCCAUCCAGGAUCCUUUAAGUCUGUUCACUGGUUUAUAUUUUCCAGGAUUUUUCUCCAGGUUCUUCCAGGUGAUCAAACCUCUGUGUGUGUGAGUGUGUGGUGAUGCUGGGGUCAAGUACAAGCAGAGGUCCAGAAUAAACUUUCACAGUGACAGCAGACAGCUUUAUGACCUCAUCCAUGACCUUACAUAAUUCAUGGGACACGUCCCUCCUCUUAUGGCUUUACUUCAUCCUUCAUCCAUCGUAUUACAAUAACACAAGUAUUAUUGUCCUUUCUGCAUGUGAAUGCAGCACAGACAGACAACAAACACGAGGACAACAAGCCCUGAGAUAGAGUUCAAUGAGGUCACAUGAUGCAGGUGUGACGGAGACCAUGCACAGACAACAUGAGGCAUGUUUUACAACAUUCAUAUUGAAAGUCUCAUUAUGAAGCAUGACAACAGACAUGUACAUGAAGUGUUCAAAUCGCACAUUUCUUUUUGCUCUUCUUUUUUUUUAUUUGUGUGUUGAGCCAAAACAAAGUCUCAGCAUCAGAACUCAUCUGACUCAUAUCAGUCAGCUCUUUUGCAUCCAUUAAAUUGAAACAUCAAGUUUUGAAAAUGUACUGCUUCUCUCAGUGGUUUCUUUUUCCUGCCUAUCCUCAUUAUCUUGUCAUUUAUUGCAUGUAGGUUGUACCAUCAUUUAUCCUGUAAUAAACAGAUCAUUUAUUUUUCUAAAUUCUCUUCAGUUAGUGUUCUUCCAGAAGUGAAGUCCCUGAAAUGAGAAUUUCAGCUUGAGAUAUGAGAUUGAUUAAUUUAAGAUUGACUUAAUGUUUGAUUUCUGAAUUAAACUUUUUUUUCUCUUUAUUUUUCCACCCUUAAGGGUGGGUGGUGCUCCUUUCAAUGAGUGCAUAAAUGUCAUAAUUUAAGAUAAUUAAUCUUAAGACAUUUAUUAUAAAUUCAAAUCACUACAUGAGUAUAUUUGUAUUCUCUAUAUUUUCAGUGUUAAGUGGAAUAUUCAUCAUUUCUCCUUCAUAUAUUAAUUAAAUUAUAAAUAAUGUAUAUAAAUCCCACAUUUCAGUUUCAUUCACUUUCUGUAACACAAUUUUAUGAGAGGUACAAAAUAAACAGGUCUGACUACAUAAAACAUUUACUGUAUUUAAUUGUAACUGCGCUUAACUGUUGGCUCAACUGAGAACCAGCAUCUUUCAUCACAUGAUUUAACACUGCCAUCUGCUGGAAAAUGACAGCACUAGGCUGUGUGGAGAGGAGGAAAAAAACUCAUGUUCAACUGAGACUGAGUAAAUGGUUUACACAGGCUUUGCUGGAUGAUAUUUGAUUUUAGUCAUUAUUAGGCUGAUAUAAGAACUGUGUUUUUGACAGAGUGAAAGGAAUUAGGCUUUGGAUGUUGGAGUGGGACGGAUAACAUUAAAUGUGUGAUUAUGAAAUCUUGAAAAUAUGACUUGCUCACUGUUAUCUUAGAGUUAUCUAACAUUGACUUUAGGUAAAAAUUCCUCUAGCACAGGAAACAGUAAGGUAGAUUUCUUUAUUUGGAUCAGUGAAGCUUCCAGAUCAGAAAUAAUGGAAUUAAGAAUACUUUUAACAUCGUAGGAACAGCAGGUUCGACUUAUUUUUUCAACUAGAGGUGACUAUAGGUUAAUACAUAUUGGAAAGGCUUUUGGAUUAGGCAGCAGUAGGACUCAAUAGACUUCUCAAAAAGAGGCAGAGGACUGCAAGGCCUUCAAAAUUCAGAAGCAAUGGAAUAAAAGAGCCUUCCAAGGAAAUCAAUUUUGACUGUUAGUUGGUAGGAUUAACACAUUUCUACACAAAAAGGACCAAGGAUUAAACUAAAAACUAGAAGCAGCUACUACUACUAACUACUUAAGCAGCUGUCAGAGUGAGGCAACUUCUAGAUUAUGGAGGCGUGAAAUCAUCACUCCUCUGAACAAUACAGCAGCAGGACUGAAAAUAGCUCUAGAUCGGUCUCUGGAGAUGUGAAGUGUGUUUGAAGUUGGUCAUAGCGUAAAAGAAAAAACAGAAAACAUGACUAACUCUUGUGCUGGAAAAAAAACAGCAACAACGUCAUAAGAGCUUGAUUGUUUUUUAAUCUGCAUAUAUUCUGAAACAGUUAUGAGUAUAUCAAUCAUUAAUGUGACACUAUGAAUAUUAAUUGAGAAUUCAAGUGAUCAGUGAUUACAAGAAAUCCAAAAGUGUCUAAUGUUCUCUUUGAUUUCACAAGGACGACAGAUUUCCAAGGAUUAAUGAAUAACACUUUAACUGACAUCCAACAUAUCCACAAUAAAAAUGUAUAAUAGUAUAGAAAAAAAGUGAAAUUAUUACAUUUUGAGUAGUUUAAUUCAUUUCAGCCUCCAUUCAUAUAUAACAACUAGUUAUAACUUUAUAAAUGCAAAAGUUCUGUAUAGUUGAAAGUUUUUGAAAAGUCUCUGGAUAUUAAUUAUCCCUUUCAUAAUGACUGACAGAGGGAUUUAAUGUAUGACUUUAAAAAAUGAUUAAAACAAAAACGAAACAAUCACGUUGAGUAAAUUUCAUGAAGUGGUUCAUAAAAAUGUGAUUUCAGAAUUAAACACAUGAAACUUAAAAAGAAAAAGACAUUAAUGUCACUAAAGUAAGGUUGAAAAUCAAAAACAAUAGGAUAAUCAUCAUAUAAAUUACCUCAUAUUAUUCAUGGAUAAUUUUUCGAAAUCAUUUCUUGCUUCUCAGAUUAUCUGCAGUGAGCUGACUGAGGCUCAGAUUCUGAAGUGGAAUGCCACAUUUGGAGGAGAGGAUUUCUAUAAGUUUGUCAUCCUCGCUGCCUGAUUCAUCGUUCAUUUCAAACUCAUCCAUAUCAGUUUUGAGAACCUUUCUCUUUGACUUGAGUUCCUCUGAAUGGAUGUUGCUCAGUUGUUCCUCCCGCUGCUCUUUGGCUUGUUGGAGUGAGUCCUGUAAUCUUUGAUUCAGUUCUUCUCUCCUCUUUUCUUCAGCCUCUCUCCUUCGCCUCUCUUCUUCUCUUCUUCUCUCCUCUUCUUGCCUUCUCCUCUCUUCUUCUCUUCUCCUCUCCUCUUCUUGCCUCCUCCUCUCUUCUUCUCUUCUCCUCUCCUCUUCUUGCCUCCUCCUCUCUUCUUCUCUUCUCCUCUCCUCUUCCUGCCUCCUCCUCUCUUCUUCUCUUCUCCUAUCUGUUCGGCUGAUAAAAGCAACUGGCGCAUUGGUACAUAUUAUCGUGGCCUACUUCUCUGAAGUAUUCACCUCCAUUGAACACGUAUACACAGAUUCCAUGAAUAGUGGCUUGGUAAAGGUUGUCAAAGUUUGUACACGGAGGCAGGAUGCAGCUACAUUUGUAACAUCUUAGACUGCCUCCCAUGUUAGCCUCUGAUGGUACGUUCCCCAUUUUUCUGGUUUAUUCAGCAGUUUAGUCUGUGUUGUUCUUUUCUGUUUUCUCCUGUAAGAGACAAAUAUAAUUCAAUCAGGACCACUUCAGUCAAAAGAAUCACUAUUUGCACACAAUAAGUUUAACUUGGUGGUAUGGCCCUGUUCUGAGAGCUCCCUGUCCUUUAUGUGCAUAUAUGGAUUGUCAAAGCCUGAGGCAGGGAGAGCACACCUUUUUUCUAUUUCAGUCAGGACCACUUUAGUCAAAAUUAAUUAUUUAUUACAAGCAAACAUUUUUCCAUUGGUGGUAUGGCUCUGUUCUGAGAGUUCCCUGCCCUUCCAUGCGCUUGCAUGGAAUGCCACGGCUAUAAGAGGGGGGAGCCCCUCCCUUUUAUGCGUGUACAAGAAAAGCCAAGGCAGAGAAAGCAGCAGCAAAUAAAUUAAAAUCCCCCCACAGAACAGAGCAAGUAUCCAUGACGAUACAUAUGGGUGGGUUACAGAGUGGUUGCAGCAGGCAGAGUAGGCAGGAGAAGCAGUUUAAAUAGGAUGCCAUUUUGACAUUUGCCAAUAGGAUGUGUGGGGGCGAUCAGCUGAGCUGUCAGCUGACUGAGGGCUGGAUUAAGAUCAGCUGACUGUAGCCUUUAGCUUGACUUCGUGUCCUGCCUGAACUACCGCUAUGCUUUAUUUCACAUCAAUGGAUAGCUGAGGCAGGAAGAGCAACAGCAAGGACAUCUUAGACAUGACAGGCUAUUCUCUCUGUCCUCCAGGUACUCACAUAAAAGCACUAGCGGAAAAGUAGCUACAAAGCUGAAACUAGAAGCUAUUUGGCAUAAUAUGUGUUGUAUCAGCCAGCAAUGUAGGGCACCCAUUGCUGUUGAGAAUCAGGUUCAGUUCAUUAGUGACUACAGCAAUCAAGAUACUAUAACUGGGUAAAGUACAUACGUCACCAAGAACCAAAACCCAAAACCAGCAGAGGGCACUGCAUUGGCAUAGUUUUACAGCUUAUCAGUUAGCUAGUUCUAGUCAGUUUAUGCACUUUUCUUUACAAAAGUGCUCCUUGAUAUGCUGUUGUAAACACAAAAGGGCUGACUAAAAUAAUCCAAAACGUGAGUUUUGCAUUCGGGACAAUUUAAUGAAAACAUCAAACUGUAAAAGCUAACAGUGCUGAGUUGUAUCUGUUUCUUUCUCCUUUGGGGAGAGCAUGUGUUUUGAAAUAAUGUCUGAUUAUGAUUUCUCAAAUAAAAGCUUUUUUUUUUCCAAACUAAAAAUAGUUAGCUCUAUCUGUAAAAUGCUAGCUGUAUUUGCUUAGAUGUUGACACUGCUGGCUAAUGUUAUUCAUACAGUAUAUAGACUUAAAUUGAUGGUGGUUUUAAUUAAUGUAAAAUGUGUCAUACAAGGACUCAUGACAUUAAUAAAUACAUACAUAUAUAUAUAUAUAUAUAUAUAUAUAUAUAUAUAUAUAUAUAUAUAUAUUAUACAAAUUUAAUGAUAGGUGUUUUAUAAAAAGCAUUGUAAAGUGUUAUCAAAACAAUGAGUUGAGAUUUAUCAAGACUGAAAGCAACUGAUGUGAAUUUUUUUUUUUUGCCAUACCGCCCAGCUCUACUGAUAUAAACAGAGCACAGAACUGUCACCUGUACUGAUUUUACAGAAGAGAACUUUGUUUACUGAUAACACAAAAGUGUGCUUGUCGUUGUGGGGGAAAAUAGCAGAUAUGUUUGGAUGUUUUGGAGGUUACUAUGAGGCAAGAAAGCAGGAUAUGGUUGGAGAGGUCAGAUUGGGAUAAACUUCAUCAGGUCAUGGUGAACUGUAUUACAAUAACAGGAAAUUUGGCAGAGGAAGAUGGAUACAGAUGUGCUUCAGAGAUAUUGGCAGGGAAGAGUCACGUAGGUAACGUUCCCACGUGAAAGUGGGAAAUACACACACACGAAGGUAGCUUCGCACACACAUUUGGCAAAAGCUGAGAUCAGUGACGUCAAUGGAGUACUAUAAGAGGUCUGUAGUUUUUCUGUUCUGAGUUAUGUCUGUUCGAUUUGUUCAUUGAACUGUGUUUGUUGCUGUGAUCGGAAUAAAAUCCUGCGAGAGGCUGCCAGCUUGAUUCUGUCUUCGUGUAGUUCAUUCCUGCAUUUUUGCACCGAGGUCAUCUUCUAAAUCUGCUUGUGUGUGUGUGUGUGUGUGUGUGUGUGUGUGUGUGUGUGUGUGUGUGCGCGUGUGUGUGUGUGUGUGUGUGUGUGUGUGUGUGUGUGUGUGUGUGUGUGUGUGUGUGGCAAAGACAACAGAGGGGGAGCUGUGUGAGCUAAUGAACAACCCCUUUGGUUACGUUGAGAAUGAGACAGAUCAAGAACAUUCUGAGCCGAGGACAAAAUACUUUCUACCAGAAGAUUAUUUUUCAUACAUCUAAAAUUUUAUAACAGUCUAAACAUAAAGAUUACUCAUGAAAUAAAAAUAAAGUUCUCAUAGUGUGUUAAUGUGACAGUGUGACUGAGGCAUGAUGGCACAAUGAAAGACAAGAAUCUUGAGCAAUAAACAUUCAUUUUGUGAAGAAACCAUUACAUGUUCUAAUCAUUGAAGCAGUAAUUUAAUGGAUAUUUGUUGUAAAACUUUCAUCAUCCUCAGAGUUGUACAUCUUUUGUACUGUUAUUGACAUGAAUGUUGUGAUCAUUAUUCAUUAAUAUUAAUAGAUUAGCACUGUAACCAUCUGUUGUGGACCUUAUAAACAUGUUAAAUCGUCUCUGUAGAGCAUAUAUGGUCAUAUACAGUCAUUCUUUAAAUGUGUUCAUAUUUUGCACUUCUGGUCAGACUACAGACAGUAGACCAGACCCAUGCACCCAUAAGAAUAUAAUCUAAGUCUAAUGAUCUGUACACUGGACUUGCAAUCAUAUACAAAUACAAUGUUAUAAACCACAAUAACAUCAAUCUAUCACAAAUAAAACCACAAGAAAACAAUGCAACACUAAAACCAUGCUGUGACUUCAUGCCUCAGAUUCAAAUUAUGUUUGAUAACAUUACAAUUUUACUAUUUACAAUUGAUCUAGAUAGAUAGAUAGAUACUUUAUUAAUCCCAGAGGAAAUUCAGAAAUCUAAGGAUUUAAAAAUCUAGACAUAAAUGAUAAAAAAUAUGUAUUAAAAUGAGAAGAAUAUAUACUGUAUGUUUAAUGCAUGGACAUUAAUUAACUAAUUUAGGAAUAAUAUUUGCAGAUUUUUUUAUGCCAACAAAAACAUGAUAAAUGUAAAACUCAAGAGUUUGUUACCUGCAGAAGAAAAGAGAUGUGUCCACUCAUCUAGACUCUGACUGAAGUGAGCCCUAGUGGCACUUUUCCAGAUUUUUUAUACUGUACGGAUGACUUUUUACUUUCACUUUCACAGAGGUGGUUAGGUUUUUCCCUGAAACCACGUGAACACACGCCCGCAACACGCACAGCUGAAUUAGUGUCACAUGUAGGCUACGUGGCUGGAGUGGCUGAUCAGGAAAACGGAUACAUUUCCCAGUGGACCGGGCUGAGUGAAAGGCAGGGAAAGACAGCCAAGGGAAUGAGGCGUUGGACAAGGAGUAGGUGAAAAAUAACAUACCAGAGAGAAUUACGUUUUUGUCUUUUGCACACAGAAAUAUGCACCCCGGAGCAAAGCAAGGAGUAAGAUUUAGACAAGAUUCUCCUUAAAGUUCUGCCUCUUUUCAGCUCUCCUCUCACUGCAAACCAUAGACUGUAUAUAAGAUGGACACCCUGGUUCCGCCUUCUGCCUGUAUACGGAUUUGAGGCCAAAAAGCUCUCGGUAAUUCCGGGUUUUUCUCCACUUCCUUGAAACCAGAGCUGUGCAGUAGCGUUGUGCGCAUUCGGCCGCGCAGUCGCCAAGAGUCCCUGUGAUGACGCUUGGCUCAAACAGCGUAUCCCCCGGGUGAGCUCCGCAAUCCCUGAACGCCCAUAGGCUGUACCAGGUGUCAAUCAUAGAAAACAUGAACCCCCUAAUAACUUUUAAAAUCGGAGCUGUACAGAAAAAAAAGGACUUGGGCACAAACCAGUCUUACAAUAACUACAUGUCAACAUCACAAGCAGGGGGGAGAAAAAUGUAUGUUCUGUGUAAUAAAUUUUUAAAGUUUGUCCACAGUCCCAUAAGCUUUGCUGACGGAGGCGGGAUUUAUGGCCUGUACUGCAGCCCACCAUCAGAGGGUGCUGUUCUCGGAGUGGCUUCACCCAGCGAGGAGGCAGACUCUGUCCAUCUUAUAUACAGUCUAUGCUGCAAACACACUCCUCUGUCCGUCCUCCAUUGUAUACCCGUGAUUUUGAAUCAGAAUCAUACCUUAACAGUCUUUGUGAUAAAUCUUUAUCUGUUCUUCCAUGUCCACCUAUCUCUCCCUGUAGGGGAGACCGGGGCUUGUUGUCAUAUGGGUAAGUUGUCACAUUGCACUUAUCUUUGCCACCAGAGGGCGCAACUAAAAAGUGGAAUACUAGUUUUAUUUCUUUACAUGGUCGGGUUCAUGUCCUGUCUGAGAAGAGAAGAGCACAUUGUGAGCUGAGAUGAGAUAAGCGCUAAUUAACCAUUUUUCAUAACUCAAAGUAAAAAAAUUAACUUUGUAUAUUUUAAGAUAACCUUCUUCCAGAUAAAAAUCCUAGCAGUGAUACAUGUGGACUUGUUAGAGGAGAGAUUAAGGCAUCCUGUCAUACUUCAGUCAUUGUUCUGUUUUAAGCUAACUUUAAGCUAGAGCUAUAACUAGCAAAUAUGUUAGUUUGGGGCAACAUGCCGCAAUCAUUUUGGGAUCAGUUGUCACAUGUUUAAAAGGGAUUAAAAUCAACAUAGAGAGUCUGCUUAUCAGCAGUUGUCAUAUUGAAACUGACUGACAGCUCUUCAAACUCCAGAGCAUGUUGCAUAAUAUUUUAUGUUAACGUUUGUUCAAUUACUUUUUCUAGCUCAAUGAUAAACAUUUAAUAUCCCUGACUUUGGUGUACACUUUCAUGUAAAAAUGAAAGAACAACAAUAAGAACAACAAUAAUUUUUUCCUUGUUUUAUUAGCUGCAAAAUCCACUGCGACAUCUUACCCCAUGUAAUGAGACAACUUAGGGCAACAUGUCACAUGUUCACACUCUCUUUUUAAUUGCUUAUAACUCUGCACUGACACAAGAUAUGAAAAUGACAUGAAUACGAAAUAUAUACCUGAGACUUUGGUCUUUCAUCUGGUAUACAUUUUGUUUUUAUAUGAUGUACUGAUUCAAAGGAAGAGUGUAAAAAGUGUGACAACAAGCCCCGGUCUCCCC